CCUACGGGAGGCAGCAGUGGGGGAUAUUGCACAAUGGGGGAAACCCUGAUGCAGCGACGCCGCGUGGGUGAAGAAGCGCCUCGGCGCGUAAAGCCCUGUCAGCAGGGAAGAAAAUGACGGUACCUGAAGAAGAAGCCCCGGCUAACUACGUGCCAGCAGCCGAGGUAAUACGUAGGGGGCAAGCGUUAUCCGGCUUUACUGGGUGUAAAGGGGGCGCAGACGGCGAUGCAAGCCAGGAGUGAAAGCCCGGGGCCCAACCCCGGGACUGCUCUUGGAACUGCGUGGCUAGAGUGCAGGAGGGGCAGGCGGAAUUCCUGGUGUAGCGGUGAAAUGCGUAGAUAUCAGGAGGAACACCGGGGGCGAAGGCGGCCUGCUGGACUGCAACUGACGUUGAGGCCCGAAAGCGUGGGGAGCAAACAGGAUUAGAUACCCUAGUAGUC
rnacentral:rRNA from 1 species